rnacentral:rRNA from 1 species
AAACGACUCUCGGCAACGGAUAUCUCGGCUCUCGCAUCGAUGAAGAACGUAGCGAAAUGCGAUACUUGGUGUGAAUUGCAGAAUCCCGUGAACCAUCGAGUCUUUGAACGCAAGUUGCGCCCGAAACCAUUAGGUCGAGGGCACGUCUGCCUGGGCGUCACGC